CCUACGGGCGGCAGCAGUGGGGAAUAUUGGACAAUGGGGGGAACCCUGAUCCAGCCAUGCCGCGUGUGUGAAGAAGGCCCUCGGGUUGUAAAGCACUUUCAGUGAGGAAGAACGCCUGGUGGUUAAUACCCAUCAGGAAAGACAUCACUCACAGAAGAAGCACCGGCUAACUCCGUGCCAGCAGCCGCGGUAAUACGGAGGGUGCGAGCGUUAAUCGGAAUUACUGGGCAUAAAGCGCGCGUAGGUGGCUUGAUAAGCCGGUUGUGAAAGCCCCGGGCUCAACCUGGGAACGGCAUCCGGAACUGUCAAGCUAGAGUGCAGGAGAGGAAGGUAGAAUUCCCGGUGUAGCGGUGAAAUGCGUAGAGAUCGGGAGGAAUACCAGUGGCGAAGGCGGCCUUCUGGACUGACACUGACACUGAGGUGCGAAAGCGUGGGUAGCAAACAGGAUUAGAUACCCGAGUAGUC
rnacentral:rRNA from 1 species